AUUGAACGCUGGCGGCAGGCCUAACACAUGCAAGUCGAGCGGAUGAAGGGAGCUUGCUCCUGGCUUCAGCGGCGGACGGGUGAGUAAGGCCUAGGAAUCUGCCUGGUAGUGGGGGAUAAGGUCCGUAAACGGGCGCUAAUACCGCAUACGUCCAGAGGGAGAACGGGAUGGAUCUUCAGAGCUCGCGGUAUCAGAUGAGCCUGGGACGGAUUAGCUAGUUGGUGGGGUAAAGGCUUACCAAGGCGACGAUCCGUAACUGGUCUGAGAGGAUGAUCAGUCACACUGGAACUGAGACACGGUCCAGACUCCUACGGGAGGCAGCAGUAGGGAAUCUUCCACAAUGGGCGAAAGCCUGAUGGAGCCACGCCGCGUGUGUGAUGAAGGUCUUCGGAUCGUAAAGCUCUGUUAGUUGGGAGGAACGGAUGUGAGUGAAUACCUGGCUGUCUUGACGGUACCAACAGAGUAAGCACCGGCUAACUACGUG
rnacentral:rRNA from 1 species